rnacentral:rRNA from 1 species
UGUAAGCGUAUACCAAAGUUGUUGCAGUUAAAACGCUCGUAGUCGGAAUUUGGCAGUUCCGGAUGUGUGCACGUCGUGUGCGCACUUCGCGGGGAUUGCUUUUGUGGUCUUGCGUAGGAUGAGGCACUUUUAUUAGUGAACGUCCUCACGCAACCACUUUUUACUGUGAGAAAAUCAGAGUGCUCAAAGCAGGCAUUUGCCGUGAAUGUAUUAGCAUGGAAUAAUAGAAUAGGACUUGGUUCUAUUUUGUUGGUUUGUUGGGACUGAGUAAUGAUUAAGAGGGACAGUUUGGGGCAUUUGUAUUUCGGUGCUAGAGGUGAAAUUCUUAGAUUACCGAAAGACAAACUGCUGCGAAAGCGUCUGCCAAGGAUGUUUUCAUUGA